rnacentral:rRNA from 1 species
AUUGAACGCUGGCGGAAUGCUUUACACAUGCAAGUCGAACGGCAGCACGGACUUCGGUCUGGUGGCGAGUGGCGAACGGGUGAGUAAUGUAUCGGAACGUGCCCAGUCGUGGGGGAUAACGUAGUGAAAAUUACGCUAAUACCGCAUACGAUCUAUGGAUGAAAGCGGGGGAUCGCAAGACCUCGCGCGAUUGGAGCGGCCGAUAUCAGAUUAGGUAGUUGGUGGGGUAAAGGCCCACCAAGCCAACGAUCUGUAGCUGGUCUGAGAGGACGACAACCCACACUGGAACUGAGACACGGUCCAGGCUCCUACGGGAGGCAGAAGUGGGGAAUUUUGGACAAUGGGCGAAAGCCUGAUCCAGCCAUUCCGCGUGCAGGAUGAAGGCCCUCGGGUUGUAAACUGCUUUUGUACAGAACGAAAAGGUUUCUACUAAUACUAGGAGCUCAUGACGGUACUGUAAGAAUAAGCACCGGCUAACUACGUGCCAGCAGCCGCCGUAA